rnacentral:rRNA from 1 species
GACGAACGCUGGCGGCGUGCCUAAUACAUGCAAGUAGAACGCUGACGGCGGAGCUUGCUUCUCCGGAUGAGUUGCGAACGGGUGAGUAACGCGUAGGUAACCUGCCUGGUAGCGGGGGAUAACUAUUGGAAACGAUAGCUAAUACCGCAUAACAGUAGAUGUUGCAUGACAUUUGCUUAAAAGGUGCAAUUGCAUCACUACCAGAUGGACCUGCGUUGUAUUAGCUAGUUGGUGAGGUAACGGCUCACCAAGCCGACGAUACAUAGCCGACCUGAGAGGGUGAGCGGCCAAACUGGGACGGGGACACGGCCCAGAACACUAGGAGUGGGAGCAGGAGGGGAUCCUCGGGAAUGGACGGAAGUCUGACCGUGCAACGCCGCGUGAGUGAAGAAGGUUGUCGGGUCGUAAAGCUCAGUUGUGAGUGAAGAACGUGUGUGAGAGUGGAAAGUGCACACUGUGACGGUAUCGUACCAGAAAGGGACGGCUAACUACGUG